GACGAACGCUGGCGGCGUGCUUAACACAUGCAAGUCGAACGGUGAAGCGCUUGCCUUUUUGGUGGGUGUGGAUGAGUGGCGAACGGGUGAGUAACACGUGAGUAACCUGCCCUCUUCUUCUGGAUAACCUCAUGAAAGUGGGGCUAAUACGGGGUAUUCCGGGUCUGUCGCAUGGCGGGUUUGGGAAAGAUUGCGCCUUUGGGUGUUUUCGGUGGGGGAUGGGCUCGCGGCCUAUCAGCUUGUUGGUGGGGUGAUGGCCUACCAAGGCGGUGACGGGUAGCCGGCCUGAGAGGGUGGACGGCCACACUGGGACUGAGACACGGCCCAGACGCCUGCGGGAGGCGGCAGUGGGGAAUAUUGCACAAUGGGCGCAAGCCUGAUGCAGCGACGCCGCGUGAGGGAUGGAGGCCUUCGGGUUGUGAAACUCUUUCGCCAGUGAAGCAGGCCUGCUCCUGUGUGGGUGGGUUGACGGUAGCUGGAUAAGAAGCGCCGGCUAACUACGUG
rnacentral:rRNA from 1 species